AGCCGGUAGUGGUGCUGAGACGGUGAGUCGCUCGAUUGAUGAGCCGAACUUUGAUGGUGAAUGUUUAGAUGAGCUGCGGUGAGUCGAGCUCAUGUGAGUGAAAGACUACCGGUGAAGAAACUGGCAGCUCCCAGCGGAUAACCAAGCACCAUAUAUGUCGGAACUAGAUUUAACUGUUCCACUGGAAGACUGCAGCCCGAUGAACACGGCAGAGAAAGUGAAGAUGUGCCGAUAGAAGUGAUAGGCACAGUAGAAUCAAGCCCGGAGAAGAAAUCAUGCAGAAACGUGUUGACUCAACUGAGAUGUAAGCAGGAGUUGUUGACUCGACCGAGGUGUAAGCGGGAGUGAAGAAAACCUCGUGGUGAUGAAAAUACGCGGGUGAACGAUGCGCGGAACCA